GUCAAUCUCCCCUUAAGAUCAAGAUAACCCCGGGAAACUGGGGAUAAUCUCGAAUAGGCGGGGAUUCUGGAAAGUUCCUCGCUGAAAUGUUUCGCGCCUAAGGAUGAGACUGCGGCCUAUUAGGUUGUUGGUGAGGUAAAGGCUCACCAAGCCACAGAUGGGUACGGGCCCUGAGAGGGGGAGCCCGGAGAUGGGGACUGAGACAAGGCCCCAGGCCCUACGGGGUGCAGCAGGUGCGAAAAUUCUGCAAUGCGUGCAAGCGCGACAGAGUGACUCCCAGUGCCGAUGGUCUAGCGACCGUCGGCUUUUCUGGAAUGUAAAAAGUUUCAGGUAAUAAGGGCCGGGUAAGACUGGUGCCAGCCGCCGCGGUAACACCAGCGGCCCGAGUGGUAACCGAUUUUAUUGGGCCUAAAGCGUCCGUAGCCGGAUUGGCAAGUCCCUUGUGAAAUCGGGCGGCUUAACCGCUCGGCUUGCAAGGGAAACUGUCAGUCUUGGGACUGGUAGGCGCCUAGGGUACUCCAGGGGUAGCGGUGAAAUGCUAUAAUCCCUGGGGGACCGCCAGUGGCGAAAGCGCUCGGCGAUGCCGGAUCCGACGGUGAGGGACGAAAGCCAGGGGAGCAAACCGGAUUAGAUACCCGGGUAGUCCUGGCCGCAAAGGAUGUGGGCUAGUGCUGGGCGUUCCUCGAGAACGUCAGGUGCCGAAGGGAAGCCGUUAAGCCCACCGCCUGGGAAGUACGGCCGCAAGGCUGAAACUUAAAGAAAUUGGCGGGGG
rnacentral:rRNA from 1 species